GACGAACGCUGGCGGCGUGCUUAACACAUGCAAGUCGAACGAUGAAGCCGGAGCUUGCUCUGGUGAAUUAGUGGCGAACGGGUGAGUAACACGUGAGUAACCUGCCCUUGACUCUGGGAUAACUGCGGGAAACUGUAGCCAAUACCGGAUACGACCCUCGGAGGCAUCUCCUGGGGGUGGACAGAAUUCCGGCAAAGGAUGGACUCGCGGCCUAUCAGCUAGUUGGUGAGGUAAAGGCUGACCAAGGCGACGACGGGUAGCCGGCCUGGGAGGGUGAACGGCCAAACUGGGACUGAGACACGGCCCAGACUCCUACGGGAGGCAGCAGUGGGGAAUAGUGCACAAUGGGCGCAAGCCUGAUGCAGCAACGCCGCGUGAGGGAUGACGGCCUUCGGGUUGUACACCUCUUUUAGCAGGGAAGAAGCGAAAGUGACGGUACCUGCAGAAAAAGCACCGGCUAACUACGUGCCAGCCGCCGCCGUAA
rnacentral:rRNA from 1 species